UGACUGACUGAUCUAUCGACGCAAAGUUCAUUCUUCUCAACGGAUCAGGCUGAGGCCAUAGCUAUUAGGACGUAGGAAAUCUGCUAAGAAAGGAUUUUUGAAAAUUCAACCUCUAAGGGCGUAAAAUAAGGGGUUGAAAUUUGUGUAGUCCACGCGGAUGAUGUCGCGAGCAUAAGCUAGUACAAUAUCAUUUUCUAGU